AGUGCACCAAUAAUAUACACAAAAGGCACUGAACAGGUUGAUCCAUAAUGUGGAUCAAAAGUUGAGUGAUGAAUGAUGAUUAUAUACAGGGGUAGAGCUAGCAGGCCUAUCUAAAAAAUAAAAUAGGGCUUGAAGUAAAGAAAAAUUGGGAUCCAUAAAUAAAAUAGGCCUUGAGGUAAAGAAAAAAUGGGAUCCAUUUUUCAGAUAAAAUAUACUUUUUAAAAAAAAUUGAACCCUAAUCCGGUUGGUUCGGUGUUGGUGUGUGUGGUUGAUGCUAUUCGGCAUGGUUCUAGCUUUUCAUCUUGAACAGGAGACUCAGAUAAUGGAUCAAUUUCUAAAAAUACACCAUAAACGAAUAUGAGAAGCUUUCCAGUGAAAUGGAUGAGAAGAAGGUGAAGCCUGAUGAGUACACUUAUGUUUUGUUGAUGGAUACUUUGUUUCAAGGAAGCGGUAAGAUAGAGGGAAGGAGCUGCGUAUUACAAAACGAUGGUUGAGUCGAGUCUAUGACCAAACUUAGCAGUGUAUAACCGGUUGCAGGAUCAGCUGGUUAAAGCCGGGAAACUGGACGAAGCCGUGUAUAAGCUAUGAUCCAACUUUUUUUUUUUUUCUAAUAUAUUUAACAUGGUUUAAAAUAGAUCUACUUUAUGCUGAUGUGACUGAAUAGUAAUCUUCAAUACAGGCUAGUGCAUGUUAUAUGCAA